rnacentral:rRNA from 1 species
UACGUAGGGUGCGAGCGUUGUCCGGAAUUAUUGGGCGUAAAGAGCUCGUAGGCGGUGUGUCGCGUCGGCCGUGAAAACCUGGGGCUCAACUCUGGGCGUGCGGUCGAUACGGGCAUCACUGGAGUUCGGCAGGGGAGACUGGAAUUCCUGGUGUAGCGGUGAAAUGCGUAGAUAUCUGGAGGAAUACCGGUGGCGAAGGCGGCAUCCUGGACCGGCAUUGACGCUGAUGAGCGAAAAGCUAGGGGAGCAAACGGGG